GACGAACGCUGGCGGCGUGCUUAACACAUGCAAGUCGAACGGAAAGGCCCUGCUUUUGUGGGGUGCUCGAGUGGCGAACGGGUGAGUAACACGUGAGUAACCUGCCCUUGACUUUGGGAUAACUUCAGGAAACUGGGGCUGAUACCGGAUAGGAGCUCCUGCUGCAUGGUGGGGGUUGGAAAGUUUCGGCGGUUGGGGAUGGACUCGCGGCUUAUCAGCUUGUUGGUGGGGUAGUGGCUUACCAAGGCUUUGACGGGUAGCCGGCCUGAGAGGGUGACCGGCCACAUUGGGACUGAGAUACGGCCCAGACUCCUACGGGAGGCAGCAGUGGGGAAUAUUGCACAAUGGGCGGAAGCCUGAUGCAGCAACGCCGCGUGCGGGAUGACGGCCUUCGGGUUGUAAACCGCUUUCGCCUGUGACGAAGCGUGAGUGACGGUAAUGGGUCAAGAAGCACCGGCUAACUACGUG
rnacentral:rRNA from 1 species